UACAGAGGUCUCAAGCGUUGUUCGGAUUCAUUGGGCGUAAAGGGUGCGUAGGCGGCGCGGUAAGUCGGGUGUGAAAUCUUGGAGCUUAACUUCGAAACUGCAUUCGAUACUGCGGUGCUUGAGGACUGGAGAGGAGACUGGAAUUUACGGUGUAGCAGUGAAAUGCGUAGAGAUCGUAAGGAAGACCAGUGGCGAAGGCGGGUCUCUGGACAGUUCCUGACACUGAGGCACGAAGGCCAGGGGGAGCAAAACGGGG
rnacentral:rRNA from 1 species